CCUUUUGCGGGACAACUCGUGUAAUCGACGAAGAUUUUCUUGGAAAUCAUCUGCAUCAGCAGCAUUGUGGGAGGCGGUAAUCGCCCUCUGGGGUCUCUCGUUCAACAAUUAAAGACCACUCCCAUCAUUGUUUCUUUACUUAUUCAGUGAAGCGGGAACUGUCAAUUAUUUUCCGUGUUGAUAUUUAGAACACGUUAGUGCGUUGGUCUCACCCCUUGUGUGGCUGGCGUGCAAACGUCUUGGUCACAACUGUCUGGCCAGGGCUAGUGGUGUGCGUGUGUUGCCCUCUUCUGCUUCUAGGAUUUUGCUGCUGCAAGGUGGCAGCCUUCAUAGCUGGCUGACGGAGAGCGCGUGUGUCCAGCCGUGGUCUUAUCAGGCAGGUUUGGCGACGUGCGACCCGAUCUGAAGAUAGUGUCAGGCGGGUAGUUUAACUUAGGCGGUCCAUCUGUCAAAUCGUAACACAGAUGUCCCAAGGUGAGCUCAGCCAGGACAUAAACCUGGCGUAUAGUAAAAUGGCCAAAGCUUACUUGAUUUUUAUUUUUAGUGCAAAUACAGACUGUGAAAGCGUGGCCUAGCGAUCCUUUUGAUCAACCGAUAUUCAAAAGUUUGAAGAAAGAGGUGUCAGAACAGUUACAACAGGGAUAACUGGCUUGUGGCGUUCAUGGUUCAUAGUGACGUCACUUUUUAAUCAUUCGAUGUCGGCCCUUCCUAGCAUUUUGAAGCAGAAUAUUUAUUGCGUUGGAUGGUUUACCUACUAAAAGGGAACGUAAGCUGGGAUAAGAUCAACGUGAGACAGGUUACUUUUACCCUACUGAUAGUGGAACUGUGUAAACUGUGAAGUACAAUCUGGUUAUUGCAAUGGUAAUCCUGUUUAGUACGACUGGUACCGCAGGUUCAGACAUUUGAUACAUGUGCCUGGUCGAGCGGCCAAUGGUGCGAAGCUACCAUCUGAGGGAUUAAGANACCGCAGGUUCAGACAUUUGAUACAUGUGCCUGGUCGAGCGGCCAAUGGUGCGAAGCUACCAUCUAAGGAAUAAAGACUAAACGCCUCUAAGUCUGAAUCCCGUCCAGAGAUACGCAAAAAUACAGUUUGGCAUGCCACGUGGUUGGGCAGAUAAAGUACUUUCCGGUAAGUAUUCAUUCGGAUGGGGCCAGCGUUCCCUACCAAACCUCGUCGGUUUGAAAUGUUAUGCUUGAGCUGUGACCAUAACCACAUGCACCAGGCCGUGUUGUUUUUGGGGUCGACACGAUAUGCAAUUAUGAAAUGAGCGUGGCGGCUCUUAAUCGUUUGAAGACGACUUAAUGUUUUGUCGAGGAGACGUGAGUAUUCGAGGAGCUAUCACACAUAUAUAUAAAUUA
rnacentral:ncRNA from 1 species